rnacentral:rRNA from 1 species
CCAGACUCCUACGGGAGGCAGCAGUGGGGAAUAUUGGGCAAUGGGCGCAAGCCUGACCCAGCAACGCCGCGUGAAGGAAGAAGGCUUUCGGGUUGUAAACUUCUUUUAAGAGGGACGAAACAAAUGACGGUACCUCUUGAAUAAGCCACGGCUAACUACGUGCCAGCAGCCGCGGUAAUACGUAGGUGGCAAGCGUUAUCCGGAUUUAUUGGGUGUAAAGGGCGUGUAGGCGGGAAAGCAAGUCAGAUGUGAAAACUAUGGGCUCAACCCAUAGCCUGCAUUUGAAACUGUUUUUCUUGAGUACUGGAGAGGCAGACGGAAUUCCUAGUGUAGCGGUGAAAUGCGUAGAUAUCACGCAGAACCCCGAUUGCGAAGGCAGCAUGCCGGCUUCCGACUGACGCUGAAGCACGAAAGCGUGGGGAUCGAACAGGAUUAGAUACCCCCGUAUA